CAGCUAUAAUCAAAAGUACAUAGUGUACUUUGUCUUUGACUAACAUAAAUAGUUGUCAGGAUGGACUCCAAUAGAGCUCUCCAUGUUAUUUUGACUCCAGCACAAUGGAAGUAAUUCCUUAUUAUGGCGAGUUGAGACAAAUUAUCUAAAAUUAUAGGGUCGUUGGAUUUCUCUACAAAUAGCAACCAAACACCCUCACAUGUUGCUGUCGAGUGGCACCAAGAGCUCCAGCUGUUAUAAGAGAUCAUUUCUUGACUCUGUCCCAUGGAACUAAAUUGCUUCUUUUCCUGCUUCACUUCAUUAGGUGGGUGAUCAGUGGGUUUCCACUGGAGUAUGAAGAUAAUAUCCUCCAACUAGACCAAGCCUUUGAUGCUGAGAUCACACUCGGACCGUGCGUGCCGCCGCCGGGUACCGGAGCGGGGCCGGACGGAUCAGCGUGGGCUGAAUGCCCUCUACCGGGGGAACCCGGAGGUUACCCACAGCCGCACCAUCGUGGUAAUUAAACGAACAAGGAAAAAGAGACAGAUUAAUUGAUUGAACUGGUUCCAGGAGAAACCAUUAGUCCUGUUCCUCUUCUGCUCUAUAUGGUGUUUAAACAACUCUGAAAUGGAGCCCGGUGAAUCCUGCCAACAUAUUUCUCCUGGAUAACUGUUCACCUCAAGAAUGUGCUGCAGAUCCUCUGCCCUCCCAGGAAGACCUACAUGUUUGGAGAAAGCACUGUGAUUUGAAAUCUGUGAGGAAGACCACAAAAGGCAGAUGAGGAUGUGUCAUCCCAGACACACCUGUUUGAGAAUGACAUAGCCAAAGAGAAGAAAGCCCAAGAGGAGAGUCCUGUGGUCAGUCCAUAACCAUCCAUCUCUGACACCCCUCCAUGUCUACUCUCAGCCCCCCCUCCACAUGGGUCCCUCCCACACCAUCCUUCCUGACUCCCAGUGGGCUUCCCACAGCCUGCAGCUCUCCCAGAACAACCCCAACAUGGCUCCAUGCCAUGGGGCACUGCUGGGCUCUGCUCACUAGAGGAUUCUCCUGCAGCUCCUCUGCUAUCAGAACCUCACCAUGUAAGAGCAAUACACCUUGGCACACUCCUGGGCCUGGCCAUGGCAUUGGAGCUAUGUGAUGAAGCAAUCAGUUCUCUUAAGUGCUUAUUCACUAGCAAACCCAUGAAGUCUCUGGUGACACCCAACAGUCAGGUUUCUUUAAUUAAACAUUUUGAAGGUUUCUGAUUUGUAGCAAAUACGUGUUUAUUAAUAUCUUUUCGUAUUUAUCUCCAUAAGAAGAUUGAAAAGAAGUAUUUUACUUGUUUUGUUUUUUCUUCUCUGAAGAAAAAUAAACAUAGAAGAUGUGUCUGUCUCCCUCUCCCCAAAUAAAUAAGUCUCUGUAUUUUUCACUGAAGGCCACCAUUGCCUGACCACCCAGCCCCACUGAUUGGCCUCAAGUGGGAAGGCAUCAUGGUAGCUGGCACUGUGUGGCAGGUGAGCAGAGAAGGUGUGGGUGCUCCAUUCCUGGAGGCAUUCAAGCCCAGGCUGGAUGGGCUGCCCUAAGCAGCCUGAGCUGGUAGAGGACAGCCAUGCCCAUGGCAGGGGGUUGGAACUGGGUGGGCUUUGGUAUCCCUCCCAGCUCUAGCCAUUCUAUGAUUCUAUGAAUUAAAAAGUGCAUUUUGGAAGUAGCUGGUAGCUUUGUGACUAUCUGCGUACAUGAGAGCUAAUAAAAUUAUUGUCACUCAGCAGCACUUGAUUGCAACCUAAUGGCUAGAACAGUUUUUCAGCCAAGAAGCAGGGAAAAAUGCCUCCUGGCAGAGCACAACUACAUACAUGGGGAAAAUAGUUGUUAUUUCAGGUGCUUAGGUUCCCAGUAGAAAAUAAGUUUAAUUAAUUUAUUUAUUUUUCUAAUUUGUGAAAAUAUGCCUACAGUGACCUCUAGGAACACGUGCAAAAGCCAUAAAACCAGAUUCAUUCAUUAACCAUCUGACACAAUGUCAAUCGUAGAUAGUCAAAUAAACAACUAACACGUGAGGAAAACUCAAACUCCUCCCUUCCAACUCUCCAUAGGAAAAAGCCUUAGAGAGUGAACACGCUUGGCAGCGUGCCUUGGGCUCCUCACUCAGUGCCUUUUUUGGGUGACAGAGAGAAUGGAGUCUGAACCGCAGCGAUGAACACUCUCAUUGCUGUUUUAUAUUCAUGCCUUUCAAUUAAAAUCCAUAAAUGUUUAUACUUUUUUCCAUUUUUUUUUCUUUUUAAUGUGUUACAUGGGAAAUAGGAAUGAGUUACAAAAAUGAAUAUGUAAAGCGUUUUCAUCUCUGCGAUGGGCAGAGAGCUGCAAAUUAGGGUUUCUGGCUCCUCCUCCAACCUCUGCCACUCUUCUGCUCUCUGAUCCUGGGGCAGCUACUCAUCCAGUGUGGUUGGAUGUGCAAAAUUCACUACACUGGGCUUGCCAGCUCCUUGUAACUCAGCCUACUGCUCUUUUGCUAAUCUUUGAAAUUCUCUUCUUGCUGUAGGAUGCUUUUAACAGUGAAACUAUUUGAGGAAAAGUCAGGUCCACUUCAGUAAUGGAAUGAAAAAAGUAAUGGAAGGAGCCCAGGCUCUCCUUGAAGCAGCAGGGAGUAUCAGCCUCCCAUGGCCAAGUGACAGCAGCACUGAGAUCUUGGUGCUUCACACCUUUUCCAACACUUCCAUGUGAUUGCAGUGACUUUGCCCUUGCCGGUGCCUUCAGUCCCUGAAGGAAGUACCUAUCUGAACCUGAAGUGCUGUCUUUGCUGUGAUGCCACCAGCAACUACAGUUUUCCUCCUGCAAAAACCUCCUUAUGCAUUAUGAAACAAUAUGUGUUAUGUUUUGCUUUAUAAAUAAUCAGUUUUUGCAAACUUAUAUAUCAUCUGUGUGACAAACACUUUGUUCCAUGGUAAUGAAUACAAGUCUGUGUCCAAACAUCACGUUUAAACACCAAAAAAAAAAAAAAAAAAAAAAAAAAAAUCCUUUGAGGCUACAUCUUCAUGUUCAACAGAUGAGGUUCUGUUCAACCUGGAGCUCUGUGACUGUGAUGAACACAGAACAGCACAGGAGUAAAUCUUCCCUCUACUUUGCCCCCCCCCCCCCCCGGGACAAUGUUUUCUAGAAAAGAUCAGACGGUGUUUUAAUGCCUGGGGAAAAACAGAACGUGACCCACAGUAUAUUUAGGCAGUUCCAUUUCUGCUUGCUAUUUUUAAAAGCAUAUGCGUUAUUUAAAAAUAAUUAGCUUGAGCCCAUUUAUGUACAAUGUAUAUAUUGCACAUAUGUCUAUACAGAACAAGAAACAAUGUAAUCACAACCUUACUACACUAAAGGUCUUGGCAUAAGAAACACAGACAGUGAAAGCCAAAGAGAUUUUACCUGUCAUAUGUAUUUCCCUCAUUUAAAUAUAUUAAAACAGAACAAAAAUAAACUUCUGAUGCUCAGAGUUUAACCCAGUGUAACAUAGUAGUUAUUUCAGUCUUUACUACAACAAUUAUUGAUAUUCUAUAUGUUCAUGUGCAGUAAAACGUGAGACAGAAAUCUCGAUGACUUAUUGUUCUGCAACUUCAAAUUUCAUCUGUUGUUUGUGGAAAGAAAAGAUAUCUUCAGAUAUGUACACACAUUUUUCUCUAAAUGUCUCUGCAUGGCAAGUAAGGCUGUAUGGGGCGAAAGGGCGACAGCAGGUUUUACUCUGCAAAUGUGAGCAUGUGCAUCUGCAGUCUUCUGUCCCUUUAAAAUUUAAUUAC
rnacentral:lncRNA from 1 species